UACAGGGGGGGCAAGCGUUGUUCGGAAUUACUGGGCGUAAAGGGCCAGUAGGCGGCCGACUAAGUCCGACGUGAAAUCCCCAGGCUUAACCUGGGAACUGCGUCGGAUACUGGUUGGCUUGAAUUCGGGAGAGGGAUGCAGAAUUCCAGGUGUAGCGGUGAAAUGCGUAGAUAUCUGGAGGAAUACCGGUGGCGAAGGCGGCAUCCUGGACCGACACUGACACUGAGGAGCGAAAGCCAGGGGAGCAAACGGG
rnacentral:rRNA from 1 species